AUCGAUUCAGCCAAUCACAGGCUAACAAUGGAUCACAUGGUGCCUGCGUGCCCUGCAGCCUGUAGCCAAUCAGGCUGUUUUCGACGGUUUGCCCCGCUUUGGCUGUUUAACGGCUGCAUGUGCAGUGAUGCUAGAGUAGAACAGGUCUGGACCUUGUUAAUGUAACUGCUGCCAGCUUUCCUGUAAGGAUCCCCAUCCAGGCCCUUCAGCAACUGUAGGAGCGGGCGUGGUGUCGUCGCUACUGUCAAAUCCUGGACCCGGCAGCCGACUUUUUCCUGACUUGGACAUCAGCAGCGGAAGCAAGGGAAGUUUCAAGACACACAGUAAAGUUUGCUUCAGUCCAGGGAUCACAGUGCACAAAACCAGAGCAUACUUCUCUCUGAGCUCUCCGUGAUGUUGAAAAAGAAGCUUCUUCAAGGAUGACCAAAUGCUUACCCCGCCUUGUGCCCAGCUCAGUGCAGACAGAAGUCACUACACUGAACGAGAACUACAACCAGGAAGCAGUCUCCACCCUGAGAAGCAGCCAUUAGUACACAGAGGAGAUUCCAUGGACACGGGGCCAUCCACAGGAACACAAACAACCCAUCAGCUGCCAAACUGCUGAAGAAAAGUGACUCCCCUCCUCCAGCAGGCGUAAGUUGCCAGUGGCUAAGAGUGGAACUGCCUGAGUCCCCACCUCCAUCGAUGCUGCAAAGUGCGUGCCUCGACUUUGUGCAGGGCCAGCUUUAAGAGGACAGAGCCAUGGAUUGCGAGUGGGAGAGAUUGUGUCUGUAAGGGCAGAGGAGACACCAAUGAACUGAGUGCCACCUGCUUCCGUGUGACAGGAGCCUCGCAUAACUGUUUUCUGAGAGGCUUCAUCCAGCAGUGGAUGAAACGGAUGCAGAGAGACCCACAGCCAAACAUCAGGCGGACGGAGCUCGGGCAUCAGAGCGUGGAUGCUCCAACACUGCACAGGAAGCUAAAAAAGAAAGGUCAGUCCCUGGCACUUACAAGCAUGGUGUUUUCUAGUUGUUCUCAAGCAGAAGAGAUGGAGGACCAGAAAGAAUAGAACAGUGCCCGUUUCAUGGGGACCGAACACACUGAGAGAACCUUACCACAGUUAAGUCUCUCUGCCCACAAGGGACCUAUGGGAUCCACCAUCACACCGGGAGAUCAAGGCACAGCAAAGACACAUAUCUGGGACUCACAACUCAGAUCCUUCUAUUCCUUGUAACUGCUCCAUUAAAGGCACAGAAAAGAAAACGGUGCCAUUUUACUGAUGGAUUCAGUGCAACAGAUGGACCAUCCACCUGACCAAACUGCAGAAUCGAAGUAUCCAUGCACGGAGAUAUCAUCUUCACAGAAAAUUAAAAAUCCCACAUUUAAAUCUCCAUAUAGUCACAGACUCUAUUAUAUGACUGCAAGCAGUUCCUUCCUGUCUGAGCCUCAGUUUCUCUAUUACAAUGGAGAGAGUUAAACUAAACAGAUUUUCCCCAAAGGAUGCCACAUGCUUUUCGGUCCUCCCAUUCAGAGCUGACAUUCUAUGAUCCUUCCCCCACCCCCACCCCCACCCCCAAACAGUUGGAGUCUUAUUUUUAACUACACAUAGAUGUCUCUUACAAAUUAUCCAGGGUCAUGGAUUAGCUGAAAAUACAAAAGCUUAAUUUCCUCUGCUUGGCUACUGUUAUAAAUGAUGAUCAAAAGAGUCAAAGAACAAACAGAGCUGGCUGCAGAGAGAACGCUGGGAUGGGGGCGGGGGUGGUGGUGGCAAUCUUACCCAGGACCCCUUGCGGUCGGAACUCUGGGGUCUGUAAUUCACUGCUGCUUUGGGCAGGCUGAAAUGAAUCAUAACAUUUUGAGCCCUCAAUGGAAGAGAGAAGAAAAGGGAACAAGAGGCCAGCGAGAGUGAGCGCCCAGUGUUUCCCCAGUUAAAUACAUGUUUUCAUCGAAGCGUUGAUGGGUUCAGAGGAAUGAAUGGCCACGAUUUAGUUAUCUUUUGGAUGGAUGAUUUUAAAUGCUUGUUGGAAGGGUCUUUGAUGAGACAGCCUCUUCAAGCCACACCACAGCACAGACUGGAAGUCUUCGGGACCGGGGGGCUCUCGCUGUCUUUCAGAGCCGGGAAGGCUUUGCGCUCUGAGAUUCCUGACGCUGGCGUUUCUGUUUCUAUGAUCCCCACUGGCACACGGCUCACUUCCACCCUUUCAGACUCUCAUCAGACAGCAUGUCAUAAGAUGGGGACGGAGGGGGAGAGAGGGAGAGACUGUAGAAUCUUAACUCAUGCCGUGCUUAUUUGGGGCUGGCUAUGGUUUGAAUGUCUGUGUCUUCUCCUCUGGAGAGAUUCCUGUUGAAACUUAAUCCCCAUUACAACAGGAUUAGAAGGUGGAGCCUUUUGACAGUGAUUAGGCCUCAGGGCUCUGCUGUCACGGAUGAGAUUAGCACCUUCUCCACCAAGGAUGGGAUUAGCACCUUAAUAAAGGGGCCUGAAAGAAGGAGUGCAGCCCUUUCGCCUUCCCCUCCCUUCUGCCAUCCGAGGACACGCACUCCAGCUAUGGAUAUGACAACAAGGAGACUCUUGGAGGCAGAGAGCAGCCCCUCUCCCAAAACACACUAGUGCCUCGAACCUACAUCCCCAGAAAUGUAAGGAACAAAUUUCUAUUUUUAAAAACAUAUCAUUAUAGUUUGUUCUGUCCGUGCAACAUGUACCCAGUUCUGUGGUAGACUGAGGAAGGGUGACAGAUCUGUUCACCUAUACUAGAGAAACUGCUAGAACUUCUACUUUCCCCAGCUAGCUUUUGCAAAAUGAGGUGGCUGGUGGUGUUGCCCAGUUGUGGUCCUGUACCCUGACAUUUUUUCAGCUUGUCUCCCAUCUAGGCACCAGGGAAACUAACAAAUUUUAGUUGUUGGUCUUCAGCGAAGUCCCGUCUUGCAAUCAUGCUCCAUCAGGCCCUGGUCCUGCCCAUUUGAGAGAGUCGUACAUCUAUCCCAAAGAUGAGUCCUAACAGGCACAAAACACACUAUACAGUGAGGGCUUUCUCUCCAAGUCAAGCACUGUGAAACAUCUGCUGCCUCUUGUCUUCCUGUAGUCUCACAGCAACCCCCAGAGCUAAGCGCUGUUGUGUGGACAUUGCAUAUGGGCCUCUCAGGGCCCAUUGUCAACAGAGAAUCAGUCCCCAAGUGGGCGGUGUCCACUUGUGAUUCCACGAGAGGCUGCCACCUCACCAGGAGACAUAGACCAGAGUUAGCGGCUUUACUGAAUAUUCCUGUUGGCUCUAGUACUUCGUGAGCACCGUUAAACUUAGUGCACUAUAGUAUUCAAUGAAGAAAGUUAGCCAUUCAGAUUUUCCAGCAUGCGGGGUGCUAGAAGUAUGCUUAAAACAUUAAAACUCGGAUUUGUGGGGCUACUGAUUUAUUGUCCCCGCAUCUCAAAGAGGAACAUGCCAGGGAUUGGAAAAUACUGAGAAACUUGGAGUGUUUUUUUUUUUCCUACCAAACUAUAGUGCUAAGCUGUAACAUUACAUGAAUAACGUAUCAUUACAGACACACACAGCCACGCAUGUACAUGCGCGUGCUUGAACACCAGUUCACUCAUACCAUGUGGAAUGAUAACAGCACUUGGGGGGUGUAUUUAGAACACAAUGUAAGCUAGUACCUGGUAAAUGAUAUCCAUGAUGCUUAACCUGGAGAAAGUCCUCCUUGGAUAGUGAGUUUUAAAUCUCAUGCUGAUGACCCUAGGACAUAACUUUGAACAUGGAAUAGACUUUAAUGUCUCUACCUAUGCAAUGAAAGAUCAAGAAACCAUAAGAAGGAAGGAAAGUCAGACACGGCAUAUCACACAAAUGAACUUUGAGUACAUUGUGUUAAUUAAAAUAAGCCAGACACUGAAGGUUAAAUGUCGCAGGACUCUGCUUGUG
rnacentral:lncRNA from 1 species